GUGAGGAAUAUUGCGCAAUGGAGGCAACUCUGACGCAGCCAUGCCGCGUGCAGGAAGAAGGCGCUACGCGUUGUAAACUGCUUUUAACCGGGAAGAAACCCCAGGACGUGUCCUGGGUUGACGGUACCGGAGGAAUAAGCACCGGCUAACUUCGUGCCAGCAGCCGCGGUAAUACGAAGGGUGCAAGCGUUAUCCGGAUUCAUUGGGUUUAAAGGGUGCGUAGGCGGAGCGUUAAGUCAGUGGUGAAAUCCUGCAGCUUAACUGUAGACUUGCCAUUGAUACUGGCGCUCUUGAGUGCGCUUGAAGUGGGCGGAAUGUGCCGUGUAGCGGUGAAAUGCUUAGAUAUGGCACAGAACACCAAUUGCGAAGGCAGCUCACUAAGGCGACACUGACGCUGAGGCACGAAAGCGUGGGGAUCGAACAGGAUUAGAUACCCCUGUAGUCC
rnacentral:rRNA from 1 species